GUGGUAAUGCCGGAUGCUCCAGUUGAUCGCAUGGUCUUCUGGGAAAGCUUUCGCGGUAUGGGAUGGGGUCGCGUCCUAUCAGCUUGACGGCGGGGUAACGGCCCACCGUGGCUUCGACGGGUAGCCGGCCUGAGAGGGCGACCGGCCACAUUGGGACUGAGAUACGGCCCAGACUCCUACGGGAGGCAGCAGUGGGGAAUAUUGCACAAUGGGCGCAAGCCUGAUGCAGCGACGCCGCGUGAGGGAUGGAGGCCUUCGGGUUGUAAACCUCUUUUAUCGGGGAGCAAGCGAGAGUGAGUUUACCCGUUGAAUAAGCACCGGCUAACUACGUGCCAGCAGCCGCGGUAAUACGUAGGGUGCAAGCGUUAUCCGGAAUUAUUGGGCGUAAAGGGCUCGUAGGCGGUUCGUCGCGUCCGGUGUGAAAGUCCAUCGCUUAACGGUGGAUCCGCGCCGGGUACGGGCGGGCUUGAGUGCGGUAGGGGAGACUGGAAUUCCCGGUGUAACGGUGGAAUGU
rnacentral:rRNA from 1 species